ensembl:snoRNA small nucleolar RNA, H/ACA box 38B
CCCUCAAACAAAGGCAUGUCUGCGUGGUCUUCUGUCUUUGGACAUGUAAGAAUUGGAGGCAAAGAAACACUGACCUGGAGAAGUCUGGGGCCAGCCUUCUCCCUGCAGGCUCAAGAUCAACCAUCCCAGAUAG